rfam:Trichuris suis C375409.1, whole genome shotgun sequence.
GUCUCUGUGGCGCAAUCGGUUAGCGCGUUCGGCUGUUAACCGA